ensembl:misc_RNA Y_RNA Y RNA
GGCUGGUCCAGUGGUAGCAGGUUAUCAGAACUUACCAACAUUAGUAUCAUUAAAGUUGGUAUACAACCCCCCUCACUGCUAAAUUUGACUGGCUUAA